CCGUUAUUUGCCAUGUGUUAGCAAAGAAGCGGCUUGUUCUGUGGGGAAAUGUUUGCACUUUGUAGUGCAUUGUAACGAUGACACAUCAUGAAGAAGACGACACGUUAAUAUCGAGGGUGUAGCAGCAGACCAACAUCGCCAUCACCUGGGCCGGUGGACUCCACGACGCCAAGAAGUCCGAAUCAUCUGGUUUCUGUUACGUGAACGACAUCGUCCUGGUCAUUUUUGAGCUGCUCAAGACAUCGGGGCUGGAAAGAGGAAAUACUCUGUUUUACUGUGAGUGCGAUUUAGUUAGCAGUAAUUAGUAACCUGUGGAUGAUUGACCAGAGCCAGAACCAGUAGUAGUGUUAUUGCAUUUACUGUAUUUGUCUUUGCAGAAGUAAAAGGUUAAGAUGGAGACAUCGGGGUGAGGACUUUGUGUGCUAAAUGGAGAGUUGUUUUUGACUUUGUCCAAAUAAAGUGUUUGUUUUACUUGAAUUGUUGAAUGUGAAAUUCUUUAGUACGAAGUACUGGCACAAAGCAAAUGAGUGGUUUGCCUAAGUAGAUUGUAGUGGUUAUUUAUUUUAUUUUAUUUUUUUGUUGUUGCUUUUUUUCAUUAAGGUAAGGCUAUUCAGUUACUCACAUACAGAUGCCAAGCCAGCCACACCCACAAAUGUGCAUUUUUGUGCAAACACAUCCAUCAUCCAGUUU